UACGAAGGGGGCUAGCGUUGUUCGGAAUUACUGGGCGUAAAGCGCACGUAGGCGGCUUUGUAAGUUAGAGGUGAAAGCCCGGGGCUCAACUCCGGAACUGCCUUUAAGACUGCAUCGCUUGAAUCAUGGAGAGGUCAGUGGAAUUCCGAGUGUAGAGGUGAAAUUCGUAGAUAUUCGGAAGAACACCAGUGGCGAAGGCGACUGACUGGACAUGUAUUGACGCUGAGGUGCGAAAGCGUGGGGAGCAAACAGG
rnacentral:rRNA from 1 species